rnacentral:lncRNA from 1 species
CUGACUAUUUUUUGUAUUUUUAAUACAGACGGGGUUUCACCACGUUGGCCAGGCUGGUCUCGAACUCCUGACCUCAUGAUCCGCCCGCCUCUGCCUCCCAAAGUGCUGAGAUUACAGGCAUGACCGCGCCUGGCCGCCAAUUAAAGUUUAACUAGAGUUAAACUAUGACAGUGAUUCAAAAUGGUUGUAAACAGAAAAAUGCAGCCACCUUAAGGAAAUAGCCUGUUUGUCCAGCAAGCCCUGCCUGGAAGCCAAGUCUUCACACACAGGAAGAGUGGCAGUCCCCAGGUCAGCCAGCAGAUCUGACUCAGAGGUCAGGUUGGCAGUGUCCCCCCAAACCCUUGGGGACCAACUGUUUCCUGGGGCAGGUUGGCACUGAGGGUGGAAAUGGGCAGCGCCCAACUCCCUCUGGCCCCAACCUCAUCAAUGGCCUUAUGUCCGGGCUGGACCCCUCCAGCCCAUCUCGGUAUGACCUGGCUUCCUGUGUAGAUGCUCUCGGGGAGAGGACGUGCCCACUCGGAGCCCUCUGCAGCCUUGGCAGUCCUGGUGCUCGCUGGAAGUGAGCAAGUUGGCAUUCUGGCAACAGACUGCAGGGUGACCGCUAAAUGUGAGUCAGCAGGGCCCCACGAAGGCCUCCGUCCUCUCUCCUGGGCUUGCCCUGUACCAGCUGUGAUCCCGGAUUAGUCACUCCUCCCCUAGGCCCGCCUCCUCGUCCUUACCAGGGGAUGACAUAUGUGUUGACUUAAGGAAAUUAAGUGCGGGAGAGCAUGGAUGCAGGAGGUGAGGUCCCCAGAGCUACGUGGCGCUAUCAGUUACCAGGAUGAGCCUCAGGAUGGCCCUCCCCGCACCCCACGUUCCCCCACCUAGCCUAUUCCAGGCUCCUUCCCACCUGCGUUCAUUCCCCUCCCCCGCCUCUCCAGUCCCCGGAAGCUUCGAGACCAAAGCCUCACUUCCCCUACUCCAGAUAUUUCCAGCGUGAACCACCACGCGGGUCCCUAAGCCUCGCGGACAGCCGAGAACCGUGGGGCUGGGGGCGGCGAGAGGUGCGACGGGGACCAGGCCCCUGCCCCAUCCCGCCGCGAGGAGCGGAGGGGGUGAUGUCACCCGGCCCGCGCGCCCCCUGGCGGGCGUCAGGCCCCACUGCUCUGCGCUUCUGCGUCCUGGCGGGUGGGUGACCAGACUGCGUGUCAGACAGACCCACGCCACUGCCCCGUGUCCGGGUGACCUUGAGCCAGGCUUGUUCCGUCGCGGCGCCACUCAUCUGUAAGGCAGGGAUAGUCACACUUGCCCUGACAACCGCGUGGGUCGUGAAACUUGUUAUUCACUGAGAUAGUGAAUAACAACGCUACUUGGUCCAGCCACCCCUGUACUCAGUGUCUUACAUGGCCUUAUCUGAUUUCCCAAUAACCCUGUAAAGUGAUGACUAUUGCUAUGCUCAUUUUACUCCACAAAAUUGAAUCUGAAAGGUUAAAGGAUGGAAAAACAUUCUGUAAGCUGCAAAGCACUAGGUAAAUAUAAUUAUAUUUCUCUCUCUUCUCUCUCUCCCUCCGCUCCCUAUGAGAGUUCCCAGUCAGUGAAGGGAACGGAAAAAUACAAGGCAUCAUGUGGUGUGGCACCAUAAUGCAAAUGUGUUCCACCUUCCUCCCCUAUUUUGGACACAACUCUUGUCUUCUCUUUUCACAUCCUCAGGGAUCCCAAGCCUCCUGGGACAUUGACCUCUCAUAUAAUCUUGCCCAGGUGAAACCAGCAAAGUCCUUCCUGAUGUCUAACCUCGGCCCCUCCUGGGUGUGAUCUCCUCUCCACCCAGCAGCACUAUCACAGUCCUACCGUUCCAUCAUCUGCGUGGGGUGGAAGUGAGGCCAGUGAAUGGCCCAGAAAUCCAGCCCAUUGAAACCUGCAUGCUGAAAAGGAAUGACUUCAUCCUGGGACAGGCCAGGUGGCAGGCAAAACAGUCAAGUAGAUCAGGGUUGUUUGUAGUGCCACCUGCCCCCUGCACUUUCCACUGGCUAUAAUCUGCUCUGGGAUGAACUGAGUUGGGGUUAAGUUUUACCUUCUUAGUCAAAAGGGGCCUGGAACACUGAACAAUGCCCAAGAGAAAAAGGGAUGCCUGGUGGGCAUGAUGACAGAAGGAGGAUAGACGUUUUGGACUAGGCUGACAAUGGUCGCGAGGUAGAACUUAGUCAUACCCCUUAGGCCACUGAUAAAUCCUUAAAAAGGUGAGACAUAGUCAUAUGUGUAUUAAUAGAGCAGGUUACUGAAUGUCUGAUUUACAAUUCAGGAGUGUCUCAGACCACAAUUUCUGGCCCUUUUCUCACUGCACUCUAGUGAUUUUUGUCCUUGCACAUGACUUCAGCCAUCAGCAUCAUGCGUAGAUCUAAGACUGCAACCCAGGCCUCUCCUACAUACCCCUCUGCCUACUAGAUAUCUUUCCUUGGUGCCCUACAACAUGCUUAAAGCUGACCUCCAACCUAGAGUGGUCCUCCAUCCCUGCUUUCCCCUUAAGCCCCUACGUUCUAGCAUUCUUCCUCAGAUAAGGCUUAUACUCCUCUUCCCCACCCCUGACUGGUCUCUCUGCCUUCAGCCUCUCUCUUCUCCAAGCUAUGUCCUGUGCAGCCUUCAAGUAGGUUAUAUUUUUCUUGAAAAAAGGGCUGCACUCCAGCCUGGGCGACAGAGUGAGACACUGUCUCAAAAAAAGAGAGAAAAAAGUCUCAAAUACAAAAGCAUGCAAGUAGUUUUUUGUGUGUUUGUUUUGAACAACACAAUUAACAGGUUUGAUUUAAUAGAUUUAACCUGGCUGGGCACAGUGGCUCACGCCUGUAAUCCCAGCACUUUGGGAGGCCGAGGCGGACAGAUCACCUGAGGUCGGGAGUUUGAGACCAGCCUGACCAACAUGGAGAAACCCCGUCUCUACUAAAAAUACAAAAUUAGUUGGGUGUGGUGGCACAUGCCUGUAAUCCCAGCUACUUGGGAGGCUGAAGCAGGAGAAUCAUUUGAACCCGGGAGGUGGAGGUUGCGGUGAGCCGAGAUUGCACCAUUGCACUCCAGCCUGGGCAACAAGAGUGAAACUCUGUCUCAAAAAAAAAAAAAAAUUUAACCGAACGACUAGGUUUUUUUUUUUUUCCUCAAGCACAUAUGGAGCCUUUAGAGAUAUUAACCACCUUCUAAAGUUUCAAACGAAGUCUCAAAUACAGGCCUGGCACAGUGGCUCAUGCCUGUCAUCACAGCACUUUGGGAGGCCGACGCUGGCAGAUCACUUGAGCCCAGGCAUUUGAGACCAGUCUGGGUAACAUGGCAAAACCCCAUCUCUACAAAAAAAAUUUAAAAAUCAGUCAGGCCUAGUGGCACAUGCCUGUAGUUCCAGCUGCUUGGGAGACUGAGGUGGGAGGAUCGCUUGAGCCCAGGAGGUUGAGGCUGCAGUGGGCCAUCAGCAUGCCACUGCACUCCAGCCUGGGCGACAGAGUGAGACUCUGUCUCAAAAAAAAAGAGAAAAAAAAGUCUCAAAUACAAAAGAGCCAGUAACAUACACACCACAUUGUAUGUCUACAACAUAAUUAAAGGGUAUAUAAAAAAUAAUUGAAAAUGUAAAACACUUUUAAAUUGGUCAAAG